GUCUUCGUGGCGCAGUUGGCUAGCGCGUCAGUCUCAUAAUCUGAAGGUCGUGAGUUCGAGCCUCACCGAGGACA
rnacentral:tRNA from 4 species